UACAGAGGGUGCGAGCGUUGUCCGGAAUCACUGGGCGUAAAGGGCGCGUAGGCGGCUUCUUAAGCGUGUGGUGAAAGCGCGGGGCUCAACCCCGCGUCGGCCGUGUGAACUGGGGAGCUGAAGCACGUCAGAGGCAGGCGGAAUUCCGGGUGUAGCGGUGGAAUGCGUAGAGAGUCCGGAAGAACACCGGUGGCGAAGGCGGCCUGACUGGGACGUGGC
rnacentral:rRNA from 1 species